GACGAACGCUGGCGGCGUGCCUAAUACAUGCAAGUCGAGCGCAGGAAGCCGUCUGAACCCUUCGGGGGGACGGCGGUGGAAUGAGCGGCGGACGGGUGAGUAACACGUAAAGGACCUGCCCAUAGGUCUGGGAUAACCAGGAGAAAUCGGGGCUAAUACCGGAUGUGUCAUCGGACCGCAUGGUCCGCUGAUGAAAGGCGCUCCGGCGCCGCCCAUGGAUGGCUUUGCGGUGCAUUAGCUAGUUGGUGGGGUAACGGCCCACCAAGGCGACGAUGCAUAGCCGACCUGAGAGGGUGAUCGGCCACACUGGGACUGAGACACGGCCCAGACUCCUACGGGAGGCAGCAGUAGGGAAUCUUCCACAAUGGACGAAAGUCUGAUGGAGCAACGCCGCGUGAACGAUGAAGGCUUUCGGGUCGUAAAGUUCUGUUGUAAGGGAAGAACAAGUGCCGCAGGCAAUGGCGGCACCUUGACGGUACCUUGCGAGAAAGCCACGGCUAACUACGUGCCAGCCGCCGCCGUAACAC
rnacentral:rRNA from 1 species